AUUGAACGCUGGCGGCAGGCCUAACACAUGCAAGUCGAGCGGAGCGGGUGACGGGUGAGUAAUGACUAGGUAUCUGCCUUGCAGUGGGGGAUAAGGUCCGGAAACGGGCGCUAAUACCGCAUACUCUCAGAUGAGCCUAGGUCGGAUUAGCUGGUUGUUGGGGUAAAGGCUUACAAAGGCGACGAUCCGUAACUGGUCUGAGAGGAUGAUCAGUCACACUGGAACGGGGACACGGUCCAGACUCCGACGGGAGGCAGCAGUGGGGAAUAUUGGACAAUGGGCGAAAGCCUGAUCCAGCCAUGCCGCGUGUGUGAAGAAGGGCUUCGGAUUGUAAAGCACGUUAAGUUGGGAGGCGUUACCAACAGAAUAAGCACCGGCUAACUUCGUGCCAGCAGCCGCGGUAAUAC
rnacentral:rRNA from 1 species